rnacentral:rRNA from 1 species
ACGCUCGACACCUACGGGAGCAGCAGUGGGGAAUAUUGCACAAUGGGGGGAACCCUGAUGCAGCGACGCCGCGUGAGUGAAGAAGUACUUCGGUAUGUAAAGCUCUAUCAGCAGGGAAGAAAAUGACGGUACCUGACUAAGAAGCCCCGGCUAACUACGUGCCUGCAGCCGCGGUAAUCUGAGGCGGGCUGGCAAGGC